rnacentral:rRNA from 1 species
CACGUAGGGGGCGAGCGUUGUCCGGAUUUAUUGGGCGUAAAGAGCUCGUAGGCGGUUUCGUUAGUCGGGUGUGAAAACCCCAGGCUCAACCUGGGGACGCCACCCGAUACUGCGAUGACUAGAGUCCGGUAGGGGAGUGUGGAAUUCCUGGUGUAGCGGUGAAAUGCGCAGAUAUCAGGAGGAACACCAACGGCGAAGGCAGCACUCUGGGCCGGAACUGACGCCGAGGAGCGAAAGCGUGGGUAGCGAACAGG